UGGGGAAUAUUGGACAAUGGGGGAAACCCUGAUCCAGCAAUGCCGCGUGAAUGAUGAAGGCCUUCGGGUUGUAAAGUUCUUUUCUCAGAGAAGAUGAUGACGGUAUCUGAGGAAUAAGCACCGGCAAACUUCGUGCCAGCAGCCGCGGUAAUACGAAGGGUGCUAGCGUUGUUCGGAAUUACUGGGCGUAAAGGGCGCGUAGGCGGAUAUGUAAGUUAGGUGUGAAAUCCCUCGGCUCAACCGAGGAACUGCACUUAAUACUGCACAUCUAGAGUGCGAAAGGGAGAGACGGAAUGGCGAGUGAAGCAGUGAAAUGCGUUGAUAUUCGUUGGAACACCGGUGGCGAAGGCGGUCUCUUGGUUCGUAACUGACGCUAAUGCGCGAAAGCGUGGGGAGCAAACAGGAUUAGAUACCCCCGUAGUCC
rnacentral:rRNA from 1 species